UUUCCCCAUGCCCAGGGCCGGAUUUGGGCCAUGCCAAUGUUAAACCAGAGGGGACUUCGAAUUUUCUAUAAUCUUUCUGUUCUAGAUGAGUUUUACAGCACUCCACCUCUGAAUAACCAUCUGCGAGGGGAAUUCACCAAAGUGCAGUAAACUGAAAUUGGAGAGAAAUAUCAGUGGAGUUACUGUAGAACUGGUACAUGAUUAAAAGAGACUUAGAGCCACUAUAAGGACAGCUUAUGGGAUUUGAAGCUUAAACAUUUGGUUUGCAAGACAAGUCUUAUACCUCUACAAAGGAGGAAAGAUAUCAGCCCUGAAACAUAUUAUGGAUAACUCAACCUCACUUUUUUUGGCUAUUCUUUGGUAUUCUUACCUCAUAGUAGGUAAUGAUUCUGUUUCUGGCAAGGAAGAUAAAGAUGGAGUCUGAGAACCAAGGCUUGCCUGGCUGUUUCUCUUUGUAGUUUUAAACGAUCCACAGGCAAAUUCAUCAUCAUCGGAGUUGUCCUCUGAGGAGCCCAGGAUGAAUUUAGACAAUGGCUGCUUCCUUGGCUUUGGAUUUACAGGUUCUGUACCUCUUGAGGGUGCAAAUUUCAGCUGCUUCUGCUCUGGUUUGGAGAGAGAUGCUGCACGUGGUGGUAAAGUGCCAGAAUUGACUCCUGAGUUUGUGUCUUGUAUUUGACCUGAGGUAGUUCCUUCUGCUUGGGUCCUGAGAAGAUUGUCAUCUGACUCAGCUGGAGUUUCAGCUUCUGCUAUUGGUGGUUUUGGCAACUGCUCUUUGUCACCUUCCAUGAUGCUUUCAACAAAUUCAAACAGUACUUUCCGCCUCUUAGAACGUGAUUGUAGAGGCCUCUGCACAUGUUUCCAAAUUAGCCAAAGUAAAAAAAUGAAAGACAAGAUCUCCAGCACCAUCUGAAAAACUGCAGUUAAAAACAAUAGAGCAUUAAUAUCUGAAUCACAGUGAAACCUGAAUUUUACUUAGCCUGAGUUUGUGUUCCUGCAUUUUACACUGUUUUUUGUGGUCCAGCCAACAUAUAAGGCAUAAUUCAUUUUCCUGAUUUUACAUUUUCCUUAAUUUUAUAUGAUUUCCCUGAAAAAUGUAAAAUAGAGGUUGUACUGUAUGAUAAAAUAUUUAACCAUU